rnacentral:rRNA from 1 species
AAAGGAAUAGACGGGACCCCGCACAAGCGGUGGAGCAUGUGGUUUAAUUCGAAGCUACGCGAAGAACCUUACCAGGGCUUGACAUGGCAUUAAAGGCUCUAGAGAUAGAGAGAUAGUUAUAGUGCACACAGGUGGUGCAUGGUUGUCGUCAGCUCGUGUCGUGAGAUGUUGGGUUAAGUCCCGCAACGAGCGCAACCCCUGUCCUUAUUUGCUAACAUUAAGUUGAGGACUAUAAGGAGACUGCCGGUGAUAAACCGGAGGAAGGUGGGGAUGACGUCAAAUCAUCAUGCCCCUUACGUCCUGGGCUACACACGUGCUACAAUGGCCGAUACAAAGAGAAGCAACCUCGCGAGAGCAAGCAAAACUCAUAAAGUCGGUCUCAAUUCGGAUUGGAGUCUGCAACUCGACUCCAUGAAGUCGGAAUCGCUAGUAAUCGUGAAUCAGCAAUGUCACGGUGAAUACGUUCCCGGGGUUUGUACACACCGCCCGU